UCUCAAGCCAAAGUUACCAUCUCUUGAUGAGAAUAAAUGUUGAACAAAGGUAGAUUACUUUGAAGUGGAUUUGGUUUGUUUUGGCUGCUAUUUGGUGUCCUUGUAGGUUCGUGGAGAUUACUCUGAAGAUGUUGGCACAUAGGUAUUUUUACUUGAAAAAGUGAUAUUUACUCUUUCCAUCCCUGUAUAUAAGCAUCUUUUGCUUUUCUCACUUUUAUUAAGAAAAGUUGGAGUAUGUACUAUGUAGUAAGUUUUGCGUUUUCAUAUUCCAAGACACUUAAUGAGGGGACAAAUUUUUAGUUAAAUAAGUGAUUAUAUUUAGGGACAUGGAAGUUUAUUUGAAAAGAGGAGGUAAGGGAAGGAAAUUUCACUUUGCUCUUCUCUUUUCAUUGUUUUAUAUACUUGCAUAUUUGUUCUUUGCAGAACUCUAUAUUGAACAUAAUAGUUUGCUCGAAUUCGGCUUUGUUACAUUCUAAUAGCGCCGUAUUGCAAAAUAAGAACUAUUUGUUCGAAUUCUGCUAUGCAAUAGCACUGAUAUUUUACCACACUAGUACUGAAGAUGUUUAAAUCAAAUAUAAAUUUAACAUUUUGAAUUGCACAUCACAGUAGUUGACAUCCUUGAAAACAAAGAGAUCAAAGUUUAACUUCACUUGAGAGAAUACUGAACAUAACAACAUCUAUACUUUUUCCCUUAAAGAACAGAUAUUUUCUGAGAACACCUUCCCUUUCAAAACCAG
rnacentral:lncRNA from 1 species